UCGGACAACUCCUCCACCGGUGCGCCUAGGAAGAGGACGCGGCGGGGGAGGGUGGUGGCCACGUCGGGGGAAGGGGACUUCGUCUGCAGGACUUGCGGGCGCGCCUUCGAGACGUUCCAGGCGCUGGGCGGGCACCGGACCAGCCACCUCCGCGGCCGCCAUGGGCUGGAGCUCGGUGUCGGCGUCGCCAGGGCCAUCAGGGAGCGGCAAAGGCGUGAGGACAAGCAGCAACACGAUUGCCACAUCUGCGGGCUGGGCUUCGAGACGGGCCAGGCGCUCGGCGGCCACAUGCGCCGGCACCGCGAGGAGAUGGCGCUCGACCGGUGGGUCGCGCUUUCGGAUCAGGAGGCGGGGCACCAGGCCGCCGCCGCCGACCGGCUGCCGAUCUUGCUCGAGCUGUUCGUCUAGCCUGCUGCUAGCUGGAGUAGAUCUCAAUGCUUGUUAAUUCAGGACUGCUCCAGCUGUUCGUCUAGUCUGCUAGCCUUCUUAGUCCACCUUGUAUAGAGUAUGUUCUUGCUGGUAGCUGGUUAGAGAAUGUUUUUGCAAGUUAGCUGGAUGUUUGCUUUGGAUCUGACAUUGUUUUUAACUGAUGGACUGGAGUGGAGAUUUACAUGCACUUGUAUACAUAUUGCAGAUAAAUUCGUUUGUUCUAAAUGCAAUUGAGAGAUUCUUGCACUCAGAUUCCUCUUAUGUGAAUGUGCUUUCUGUUUUUUGCGGGAACUUCUAUGAAUCGGCUCGACCUCGGAUUCAUUUUCGGCCAAGAAAUCCGGAUUUUGGCCAUCUCGGCCUCGGACGAAACAUAGCUUUCAGCCGAGAAGUGGAUUUUGAUCAAAUUUCCUCCAAUUUUUGGUUAAAUGUUGGUAAAAAUUCUAACCAAUUUUUUUGAAAUAACCAAAAUUUGGCCAUCUCGGUGUAGGACGAAAAGAGUCCCAAACCCAAAGAAGUCCCAAACCAAAAACUCUGGUUCACCCCUAUUGUAUAGAUGACCAGUAGAAAUGACCAUGCGUUGCAUCGGGCAAGAAAAAAAAUACAAAACCUUCUUGUUAUAUCAUUAUGCGGCAUUAAUUGUAAUAAACAUGUAUAAUAAUGUUAAAUGUUUUUUAAAAAAAUAUUAGGUACUGCUUACAUAAAAAUGGAUGAAUUUUUUAUAAUAGUUAUAUUUUUUGUUAAAUUUUUAAAUUUCUUGUAAAAGAUAAAUUGUUAAACAUUUUUUUCAAAAGGAUCUUUUUAUUGUGGGGUAAUAAUGUUGUUUUUUUGAUGGGUAAUGGCAUUUUUAUGUAGAACAUAUUUCCAUAAAUAUUUUUUGAAUCAUAUUUUCUUAUUUUUUUGCACAACUUGCUUCAUGUGCCAUUAUGCAUCAUUUUUAUAUGGAUUUUUAAUAAUUGUUGAUGAUAAGUUAAAUGUUAAAUUAUUUUAAAAAUUGAUGUAUGCAUAAAAAUUGUAAUACUUUCUAGGAAGUAUUGUUUUUAUGAAUUUUUUGCUUUUCUUUGAAAAGGAACUUUUUAAAAUAAUUUUUUUCUUUAACAUUUUAUGAAUUUUGGGCUUGACCCAAACAACUCGCAGUACAAUAACAAUUGACGGUAUUAAAAAAACAUUAUCGUUUGGUACAGAAAAUGCAGCAUCAUCUCUUUCGUCUCUCCCGUUCCCAUUUCAUUUUUCGCAUUGGCUACCUGUUUCCUCUGCAUCGAGGCUACACCAAACCCGCACGGCCCGAGCGAAAAAACAUCACCACACCACGAGCAUUGGCUCGGCUGUCUCCUUGCCCACGAAGUCGCCGCCACUGCCGCCGCCACCACCCACGCUGGCCGCUUCCGACGACCUACGGCUCCGCGCAGCACGCUCCCGAGCUCCCCACGGUCCGCGCGUCCCUCCCCUCCGGCCAAAAUCUUCGCUCCCGUCCUCUACCGCCCGCUCGGAACCACCCUGUGGCUAGGGUUUCGGGCAGUGCUGCACCGGCGCAUCUCCAGCGGCCUUAGGUUAGUCCCUCCGACGCAUCUCCAGCGGCCUUAGGUUAGUCCCUCCUUCCUUCUUGGCUGGGAUCCGCCACCGUGCCUUACCUCUUCGUCGCCCCCCUGUUGCCUUCCUGCUGCUCUCCAACUCCCCCUCUCUCAGUUCGUCUCUCUCUGUUUUCUGCAGGAGCUCCGUGGCGUCGAGUCUCUCCGACGUUUGCUCACCAGCAGCGGACGGACCUCGCCGGCGACGUGCAGGUCAUAUGCCAUGGUAAUGAACUUCCUGCAGUUCAGUUGCGUGAUUUUGCCUAUAUGGUAUUUUCAUAAAUUCAUAAAUAAGUCAAAAGGUAUUAGAAUCUAGGUCUUUAUUGUGAGAUGCAACUAAAAGAGCUUUUACUGUAGGCUACUACAAUUAUUUUCUGUAUUCCUCUGCUUGCCAAGUUAUUAAGCGUAGAGAAACGUAUGCACUAAUCAGGCUAGAGAGACUUACACACUACAAAAAUAUUUUUCUGCUCCUACUAGUUACACCGUUGCUCUCCUCUGUGUUCAUGUAACUCCACAUAUCUUUCUGCUUCACAAGUUAUUGUGCACCUUUAGCUGUAUAACUUACACACAAGGGCCGGGUGAUUUCGCCACAGGCUCUAGCUAGCAGCCACAAGUCCAGGAGCAAGCAGCAAGAAGCGAUAGCCACAAGUCCAGGAGCUAGCUAGCGAUCCGGGUGUUUUCGCGGCCACCACAAGAGCAAGAAGCACAAGUCCAGGAGCCAUUGCGCCAUGGUAGGACCUCGAGCUCCUGGCCCGCUUCCAUGUAACCUUCAUGACCUCGCCAAGCCUCGAUCUAGCUGGCCACCGACCGGAUCCGCCGGAUCCCACCCUCCCCGACUCGUUCCCGGCUUUCCCUUCGCGUGACAUCGUCGUUCAUCACCAACUUGUUGCCGCUGCUGCUCCUAUUUGUCAGAGAUCGAGGAGGACCUUGCUGCGUUGACCACGCCCCCGUCGUCUGUUUCCUCCCACUCGAUCUGCCCACAUGGACCCAACCUGUUGCCAGCCCGCGAUCGAGCCGAGCAAGCUAGCCCACGCACGCACCUCACCUCGCCGCUGCACCGCCCCUCACCUCGCUGCUGCAGAGUCUGGAUACAGUAGACUAAAUACAGUAAAAUACAGAAGAAACUCAGAUCACUGUAUUUGUUCCUCGCAAUGGACCUCAAUAACAUGGUCGGAAUAAUCCAUUUUUUCCGCUGAUUUACAGCACAAGAUCCUUCAUUAUUGACAAAUGAGUUCUGCAGACCGGCUAGCACAGAAUCAAAAUUACUUUCUUCAGGUAUACUAUCGUGACCAGAUAGAUGUUGACGCCGCAGCAGGUGACUGCAUCCAUUGUUGUCCCAUGGAGUCGUCUCCAUGUUCAGCAAAAUUUUCAUUAACAGUGUGAAAUUGUCUAGAUUCUGGAAUGGUUCCAUUAUCCACUUUCGGGGUAAUUAAAUCAGUGUUUGCAUUAUAAAAUACCCGAUGUUGCUCUGCAAAAUGAUUUUAUCAACACAAAGAAGUUUUUUGAGAUGAAAAUAGGAAGUAAUGAGAAAAGAAGAAAUUUGUAUGACAUUUAGUGGACCAGAUGAGUGCAGAAAUCUUACCAUGAAUAUCUGAAUCGUCAUUCGUGUUUGCAUCAUUGUCAUCUGCAACACCAUUCGGGAGGACAUUACGGAUAACAUAAUCUGCUGGCAGCUUUCUCCUCCCCCAACUCAUACCGCUGGAACCAAGGCUAUAGGCGGGGACGAACGCAUCAGGGUGCUCUUCCAGGCGGCGGCGAGGAGGCUGGGGGUGACCAAGAUGGAAGGAGGGACGUCGUGGGUUGUGAGCGGGCGGUAGAGGACUGGAGCGGGCAGCUGGCCGGAGGGGAGGGAGGCGAGGACCGUGGGGAGCUCGGUGGCGUGCUGCGUGGUGCCGGAGGUCGGGUGGUGGCGGCGGCAACUUUGUGGGCGAGAGGGAGAGGAGGCGAUCCCGAACGAAACUUGACUACGUCUCGACAUUGACAAUACAAUGAUUCGAUUGCCCGUCGGAGUUGAGGACAAGGGCGCGGAUCAUUGCAGAGGAACGUGGGGACAGAGUGGAACGUCGAGGCAAAGCGUGAUCUUCAACUUGUUGGCGCCAUCUUUUGAUAGGAAGAAGAGGGAAGAGGUUCAGUUUGUUAAUCAACAGCUCCCUUUUCGUAGUAGUAACAAUCAUCUACAAUUAUGGGCAACAAAUUUUCGCCGAGCUUCCCAUUUCCGCCUCCAUUCUAUGUAAAUAAUUAAGGUACUUAUUAGCUUUUAUUGUUGCCCUAACUUUAGCCACAUCAAUUGAAUAUUGUUGUAUUUUUGUUCCAUCAACCUGAAAAGCAACAUAAACAUAAUAUCAAGAGAAAUCCGCUCAGGUUUUCUAUAUAUACAAAUAUCAUGAAAGAGAGACUACUUCGAUACAUUUCAAUUUUCUCUACAAAUAACACCUUUGUACUUUAGUGAUCUAUAAAAUGUCUAAUACUAGUUUAUAGAGGAAGUACUUAAUACGGUCAAUAAGAUUAAGUUAUGUAACUUGAAAAUUAUUACCAUGAAAGCCUCUUUCAAGAGAAGAGAGAGAGAGAUCAUUCCAUAUGUCGUAACGACAGUUGACCUACCAUUAUUUUCUCUCUAUAUAGAAAUAUGGAGUACUCCCUCAGUUCCUAAAUAUAAGUUUUUUUAAAAGAUUUCACUAGGAGUCUAUAUACAGAGCAAAAUGAGUGAAUCUACACUUUAUAGUAUGCCUAUAUGCAUCCGUAUGUAAUGUGGAACCUCUAGAAAGACUUAUAGAAAUUACACCAAGGUCCCUUGGGAACUGGCCAAUUCCAUCAUCCUGAGGAGGCCUUGGCGUGUUGCUGCCGCUACUCAAUAGCCAUCGCUGCAUGGGUCUGUCACUACCUAGAUGAUGUGGCAAUUAGGAAGUCACUGUACCUAGGCCCCUGGAUGACCUAUACCCUUGAAGCCAGGUCAUGAUCGUCGGAAAGAGAAUAUAUCUCGAAGCCGAUGCACUGGAUCCCACAAUGAUGACGAGCAUCGCUGCGACGAGGAUGGUGGCAAAGGACAGAACUCCAUUACACAACUAUCGUUCUUGCCUCAACGUCAGCACCUGGAACCACCAAACGACCGCCCCUGUAGAACGACGACCACAUCAAACUUGCACUCUUCCACGCCAUUUGCAAAAGCUACCAACUUGGUGGAUGAGAAGACGAGGAACUUUAUUUCACUUGGCGACAUCGUCCACCCCCCCCCCCCUCCACCGCGCCACCCAUCCGAUCCGACCCAACAAUCUAGAGGCACAACCUUCUAGAACUCAUCAACGGGAGAGAUCAAGGAGAACAUGCAUCAAGCAGGUCACCGCCUUGACGCGAGAAGAACCAUAGGAUCGCCUCCUUAUAAAAGCAAAUUUAGCAGUUCCCAUGCCGCCGAUAAGAUUAGCGAAGAGAAGGCGACCACGACGUCGCACACUCGCACAUACCCAGAACGCCUAGAUCAGACCCAGAUGCCCGAUUCGAACCCGUCGUAGCUGCAAUGUCGAUGCACAGAUGUCGAGCCGCACGCCUGUGCCUCACCGCAUUGGCUCGUGACAUGACCCCGACCACUAGGGCCGCGGCAUCUUGCGUCUCAAUCUCCCGGAAGCAACCAAAGGCAUCGGAGAGGUUCAUCCACGACCUAGAUUUUUUGUGAGGAACCCCUGAAGCUAACGAACAAUGCAUGCUCUGCCAGAUCCUCGCCACCUGAAAGAUUGCCGCGAGUAUACCAACGCUGGGCGUCGCUCUAGUUCCCGCGCGUCCACGAACCACCGUCAUCACCCCAACAGCUCCCAUAGUCACCUACCAUCCGCCCCAGACUACCUUUGGUAGCUUGUCCCACCGUCCUGGUGAGGGCCGACGGUAGUGUCGACGAGGGGAGCCAGGGAUGGGGGAGGAGGCUGGCGGUGCGAGGUGUUGCCUUGGGGAUCGACACGGGAGGGGUCAUGGGAGAGCAUCACAUUUGGGAACCACUCUGGAUCUACAUAGAGUAUGGGUUUUCUGUUAAGAAUGCUUAUGCACUAUCUAUUUGUUACAUUUUUGUUUUGUGAAACAAUUGCUCAAACUCGUAAACUUUCAGCAAAAGCAGAAAUCCUGUAAACUAAUAGAAAUUACACCAAGGUCCCUUGGGAACUGGCCAAUUCCAUCAUCCUGAGGAGGCCUUGGCGUGUCGCUGCCGCUACUCAAUAGCCAUCGCUGCAUGGGUCUGUCACUACUUAGAUGAUGUGGCAAUUAGGAAGUCACUGUACCUAGGCCCCUGGAUGACCUAUACCCUUGAAGCCGGGUCAUGAUCGUCGGAAAGAGAAUAUAUCUCGAAGCCGAUGCACUGGAUCCCAUAAUGAUGACGAGCAUCGCUGCAACGAGGAUGGUGGCAAAGGACAGAACUCCAUUACACAACUAUCGUUCUUGCCUCAACGUCAGCACCUGGAAUUUAUAUACGGAGUCUAUAUACGGAGCAAGAUGAGUGAAUCUACACUUUAUAGUAUGUCCAUAUGCAUCCGUAUGUAGUGUGGAAUCUCUAGAAAGACUUAUAUUUAGGUACGGAGGGGGUACUUGUGAAGCACGCACUUACAGUAGUGUAUACGUAAUUACGUAGCCUUCACAAGUCUGAAAUACCCUGCUCCGUCAAAGAUAUUUUCUAAGGCUCUGGAACAUUCCAGACCCUUCCGAUCCUCACGCUCGCGCUUGCGCUUGCGCUUGCGCCGCCGUCCAAACCAGGGUCUGGACCAAAUUAUUCGCUCCGGUUAGCCGCCGAAUUGAUCCCGCACACCGUCCGGCGACCAAGCAGCGGCGAGCCGCCACGCGUCUUGUGGCGUGACAGGUGACGCAUUUCCGCACCACACGUUUCGUCUCCGGUCGGCCGCGCUAUGCACGACGGAAAUAUCCCAGCUAUCUGCCAAACUAAUACUCUAUCGAGCUCGAUCCAAUCCGUCACGUCGUGAACGUCGCGGUGGCUUCCAGCGACUGGUCCACAGACGCUAAAGGUAGGCCAACCCACACCAACUGGCCACACACGUAAGCACCAUCCGCAGCAACACGCACGCCACCUCAUCCUGACUGGCUGCCCAACCUAUAUAUUCUCCCCCGCCGAUCCAUCCAUCCAUUCUUCCUCCUACCGAGCUCCCAGAGAACAUACUAUCAAGAGAGCAUCAAUCAAAGUCAGCAACAAAUCCAUCUCCAUGGGAGCGGGCAUGGUGUCGCUGGCGCUGUCCCUCAGCACGGACUCCUCGGCGUCCACCACGACGUCGGACAACUCCUCCACCGGUGCGCCGGCGACGACGGCGGCAAGGAAUAAGGUGCGGCGUGGGAGAGUGGUGGCGACGUCGGGGGAGGGAGAGUUCGUGUGCAGGACGUGCGGCCGCGCCUUCGAGACGUUCCAGGCGCUGGGCGGGCACCGGACCAGCCACCUCCGCGGCCGCCAUGGGCUGGAGCUCGGCGUCGGCGUCGCCAGGGCCAUCAAGGAGAGGAAGCGGCAAGAGGACAUGGAGCAGCACGAUUGCCACAUCUGCGGGCUGGGCUUCGAGACGGGCCAGGCGCUCGGCGGCCACAUGCGGCGGCACCGCGAGGAGAUGGCGCUCGACCGGUGGGUCGCGCUGUCGGAUCAGGAGGCAGGGCACCAGGCCGCCGCGGCCGACC
rnacentral:lncRNA from 1 species